rnacentral:rRNA from 1 species
UACGGAGGGUGCAAGCGUUAUCCGGAUUUACUGGGCUUAAAGGGUGUGUAGGCGGAUUUUUAAGUCAGAGGUGAAAUCUCCAGGCUCAACCUGGAAACUGCCCCUGAUACUAUUAGUCUUGAAUAUUGAUGAGGUGGGCGGAACGGGUCAUGUAGCGGUGAAAUGCUUAGAGAUGACCCGGAACACCAAUGGCGAAGGCAGCUCACUGGGCAAUUAUUGACGCUGAGGCACGAAAGCGUGGGGAGCAAACAGG